AAGCUAAUAGCCGGAAGCAGGUGCUUAUACAAAAAAAAAAAAAAAAUGCAUGGUCCCUGCGCAAGGAUGACACGCAUUAAUCGAGAAAGUAUCACCUUUUUC